CCUCAGCAGAGCAAGUAGCAGGUUGGUUGACAGGGAUGCAUCUCAGCCCAGACCCUUGGUGGUGGCAGUCCACCUACGCCAAAAGGCAAGAUUGGCAACCCCCUUUCAGUGUGGCUCACCCGCUCAGUGUGGCUCACCUGCUCAGUGCUUUUGAGACUUGGUUGCACAUCUGAACCACUGAGGACCGUGUUUCAUUGUAAACUACAAUUCAGCAGCUUGGGGCCCCAGAGAUUCGGCAUUUCUGUACAGCUUCCAGACAGAUCCACCUCGGAACCCCGGGGAAACAAAUCAAGACACCAGAGUGAAGGACAGCAGUGGUUCCUGGAGCAAGUGCAUCCCCCCAGGCAAGCAUCCUCUGCCUUUCCUGGGCUGCGCUGUGUGUGGACACUUAGAGGAUGCAAGAAGGGAAGGGUUAGUGGUAGCAAAUGAGUGUCCUGACAGUCACACGUGGAACAUGCUUGCUCCCUGCUCU